UACGUAGGGUGCAAGCGUUGUCCGGAAUUAUUGGGCGUAAAGAGCUCGUAGGCGGUUUGUCGCGUCUGCUGUGAAAACCCGAGGCUCAACCUCGGGCCUGCAGUGGGUACGGGCAGACUAGAGUGCGGUAGGGGAGAUUGGAAUUCCUGGUGUAGCGGUGAAAUGCGCAGAUAUCAGGAGGAACACCGGUGGCGAAGGCGGGUCUCUGGGCCGUAACUGACGCUGAGGAGCGAAGCAUGGGGAGCGAACAGG
rnacentral:rRNA from 1 species